UAGUCCACGCCGUAAACGAUGAGAACUAGGUGCAGCGGAUAUUGACCUCUGCUGUGCCGUAGCUAACGCGUUAAGUUCUCCGCCUGGGGAGUACGGCCGCAAGGCUAAAACUCAAAGGAGUUGACGGGGGCCCGCACAAGCAGUGGAGCAUGUGGUUUAAUUCGAAGCAACGCGAAGAACCUUAUCUGGAUUUGACAUGGGAGUGAAAAGUCUCAGAGAUGAGUCUCCUUCCUUCGGGAACACUCUGCACAGGUGCUGCAUGGUUGUCGUCAGCUCGUGUCGUGAGAUGUUGGGUUAAGUCCCGCAACGAGCGCAACCCUCGUCCUUAGUUGCCAUCAGGUAAUGCUGGGAACUCUAAGGAGACUGCCUGGUUCAACCAGGAGGAAGGUGGGGAUGACGUCAAAUCCUCAUGGCCCUUACGUCCAGGGCUAGACACGUGCUACAAUGGUCAGUACAGAAGGAUGCCAAGUCGUGAGACCGAGCUAAUCC
rnacentral:rRNA from 1 species